rnacentral:rRNA from 1 species
GUGAGGAAUUUUCCGCAAUGGGCGAAAGUCUGACGGAGCAAUGCCGCGUGAAGGAUGAAGGCCUAUGGGUUGUAAACUUCUUUUCUUAGAGAAGAAUAUUGACGGUAUCUGAGGAAUAAGCAUCGGCUAACUCUGUGCCAGCAGCCGCGGUAAGACAGAGGAUGCAAGCGUUAUCCGGAAUGAUUGGGCGUAAAGCGUCUGUAGGUGGCUUCAAAAGUCUCCUGUCAAAGAUCAGGGCUUAACCCUGGGCCGGCGGGAGAAACUCUGAGGCUAGAGUUUGGUAGGGGCAGAGGGAAUUCCCGGUGGAGCGGUGAAAUGCGUAGAGAUCGGGAGGAACACCAAAGGCGAAAGCACUCUGCUGGGCCACAACUGACACUGAGAGACGAAAGCGAGGGGAGCAAAAGGGAUUAGAAACCCUUGUAGUCC